rnacentral:misc_RNA from 1 species
GAUGGUGCAACAUCGAAUCCUGUUACGUUACUUCGAAUGGAAUCUUAGCCCGCCUCAAAAGCUUUCUUUACUGCAUAAGGGCAUAAGCGAAGUCAAGAGAUUUCCUUCUAACUAGUGGCUGAAAAUAUACCUUCAUUCAACAGAUUUUUGAUUGCAUGCUCUGGGUCUGGAAUCUUUGCUCUUCUCUUUUGCAUUUCCGCUGCCUGCGUUCUUUCUUCGUGUCCGUUCGUAUCGCAAAGCGGGUCGACGCCAGCUAUAAUGGUUGAAAAGAGGGGGGCCAACCAAGACCCCCUAGCUUUGUUCGAUAAAGCAAACGAUUCGUUCCGACAACUUCGGACCAGAUUAACCCUUUGAAUUAGCCGAUCUUACAAAAUCGAUUGGGCGGGCUGGUUGGGAAGGGGCGGAGAAAAGAAUCGCUGAGAGAUAGAUUCUACUAUUUAGUCAGGACAAAUGAGUGGCUGUGCAGCAUGCUCCGGAGGAGAUUGACCUUUCCCCGAGUCAGUCCAGUCAGAAAGGGGAAGGCCCGCUGUCUAGACUGCAUUUCGGGAGUUUGAACACCAUCCCAUUUCAACCAAAAAUACAACCCUGUCAAAGGCUACGCACCUUCCUUCCUUAUGAGUGGAAAUCCAAUCCCGUUUUGUCUUUUUUGCAUAAAAACCAGCCAGCCGGUAAUAUAUAUUUAUAUUUAUAUAUAUAUUUGAAACCCGUUCUUCCGACCAU